rnacentral:lncRNA from 1 species
UAGAGAUGGGGUUUCACCAUGUUGUAGUGAGCUGGUCUCAAACUCGUGGCCUCAAGUGAUCCACCUGCCUCACCCUCAUCACCUGCCAAGUCCUACCCAUUCUAACCCUGAUAGCUCUUAAAUCAGGUCUUUCCACCUCAACCUCAUUAUCACUGCUCUAGAGCUCAAGCCUUCAGUGUCCUUUCACUUCCUGAAUUUACUGUCUUAGUGCUCUUGCUCACAUUGUAUUCUUUGCCCAAAAUGCUCUUACCACUCCCCUUCUUCUUCUGUCUAUAGGGCAAGUUAAAUGGCCCCAUAUAGUGGUAUAGGUUGUUCACUGCACUGAGACUAUCCAUCACCACCUCUACCUCAUAUGUGAAAGGACUUUUGCUAAAGGAACAUUCCUGUCCUUGCUUUCCAUCCUUGUUUCUCCUCUCUCAGUAUUUUCUGCUGUGCUCCAUAGUAAUUUUCUGGGGAUAGGGUUUAUCUGAGAAAGUGUGUGCAUGGGUGAAGACCUAGGGGGUCUGGUAUUACCUAUGACUAGGGGUCUUGAGUCUAUCUAAGGCAGGAGUGAAUGUCAGGAUGCCCACUGAGGCUUUGUUUUUUGUCUUGUUUUUUUCCAUCAUCAUCCCUUUCAUUUCCUUUUCCUGUCUUACUGCAUUGGCUAGGAUCUCCAGUGCAAUGCUAAAUACAAGUUGUGACAGUGGACAGCAACCACCUCUACUCAAUAAUAAGGCUGAUGUUUUAUCAGCCUUAUUAUCAGCCAUCUGAUGUCUAUAUCUAGUUCUCAAUUUGUUCUGAAUGUGUGAGGGAGAUACUACAGGCCUCUGUAUUCGUUUGUUCUUGCACUGCUAUAAAGAAAUGCCUGAGACUGGGUGAUUUAUAAAGGAAAGAGGUUUAAUUGGCUCACGCUUCUGGAGGCUGUACAGGAAGCAUGGCUGGAGGGGCCUCUGGAAACUUACAAUCAUGGCAGAAGGAUGAAGGAAAAGCAGGCACGUCUUCACAUGGCCAUAGCAAAGGGAAGAGAGAGAGAGGGGGAGGUGCUACACAUUUUAAACCACCAGAUCUCACAAUAACUCACUCACCAUCACGAGAACAGCACCAAAGGGGAAACCCCCCCCACAAUGAUCCUGUCACCUCUCACCAGGCCUCACCUCCAACUUUAGGGAUUACAAUUUGACAUGAGAUUUGGGCAGGGGCACAGAACCAAACCAUUUCAACCUCCCAGAAGUCCAUUUUACAGAUGAGGAACUGUGAGGUAACUCACCCAAGGUCACACAUUUAUUAAGAGGCAAAGGUCUUAUGUGGAUCUCUGCCAGUUUGACUUCAAAGCCCAUAAUCUAAACUACUAUGCUAUAAAGUCUUCCAUAAAACAUAGUCUAAGGGAACAGUCAUUUAAUAGCGUGAUGCUGGAGUGAGAUCAGGGAUACACACGGUUGGAAUAGGCUACAAAGGAGCGAUUAUGUAUAAGAACCAAUCCUACCUAAAAAUGCAAGCCAUGAUAACACAAGCACUACACAACAAUGGGAAAUGGGGCAGGCAUUUGAGGGGGGAGGAAAUUAGCUAACACUUUAUAUCUAACACUAAAAUGACCUCCAGACAGAUUAUAAAGUUAAAACUUACAUAAAUAAGUAAUACAAUUCUAGACUAGCUAGUAGGAAAUAAAUUCUUUUUAGCCUCUGGAAAAGCAUUCAUAAAUUUUCCUUAACUUCCUUAACGUUCCUGAAACUUCCUAAGGAGUUUUAUAAAUGUUCUAGCAAAAGAAGAAAUCACACGGAAAAAGACAAACCUGUUUGGCCAUGUGGUGAGCAGUUUUGUGGGGUGGCGAGGGGGUCCCCAGGAGCACCACUACUGCAGACAUGUGCAGGAGUGACCAACCGAGCAGGAGGAAGCCACAGCGACCAGCAGUGUCCGUCAUUUUUGAAGACCGAGAAAUGACAACAAUAUCAUGCACCCAUUGGUCUCCCACAGGAGUGCUCCUUUGGGGCCAGGCACGGUGGC